ensembl:lncRNA
CAAGAUUCAGAGAAUAUAUGACAGUUGUGGUCAUUUUAUAAAUGCGAAUAAGGCAGAGAAGGUGAUGAUUUGAUCCAUGACCUUGGAUAAAUUAGGACCAUAGAUCUGAAGUUGGGAAGGGACUUUAGAAGUCGCCAGUUUUACAGAUAAACAGAUCCAGAGAGGUUAAUUGACAAAGGAUCAAAUUAGGUGUUGUUUCUUCUCCCUCAUCCCCCCCCCCCCAAACUGUCUGUGAGCAAUUGGAUGAAGUAAGGGGUAGUGCCUUCAAAUCCUUCCUCUCCCUCCUGGGAAAGAGGGGGGGCUCAGACUGAGGGCUGGGGGUGGGCAGAACAGGCCCCGACACUGAGGCUGGCUCGGAAUUGUAAUGUUACUCGUGGGUAUCAUGGUUGUCAUAUUGCAUUUGUGUGGCUUCAGUAGCUGUGGGUACCCCCGAGAGAUGAUCUAGAUAGACGACUCUAGGUACAUUUGGUUGUGUGGUGUGCCUGUGACUUUUGUGACCCCGUUCAUGGGUUUGUGACGGGUGCUGUGUGCAGGAGCCCGCAGGAAAGCACAAGGCACAGCGCGGACCGGAGGGAAAGCCGAGGGGGAGGAGGGGAGGAAGGGGAAGCCGCCCUCCCGCGCCCCCGGCUGCCCGGCCCUGGUUAAUGAUUCAGCACUGUCGGAGGCCCCUGUCCCCCGGUCCCAGACGCCGGCCUUGCGCCUCCCGCACGGCGUCACCGCGCGUUUGUGUGGCUGACCCCGUGGGUGCUGCGGGCCGGGGCCGGCUGCCCCGGGUGCCCGGCCCGAGCCGCGGCCCCCCGGCCCUAGCAAAGGGGGCUCUUUUUGCCGCGGGCGUUUGCUGGGAGCGUGGGAAAAACGAAGUUGUGUUGCCGCCUCCACCAGGACUUGGCCGGGCCACGGGCUAACGCUUUGUACGGGGGGCGGAUUGAAGAGGAGAGAACGUUCCAUCAGAAAUGAAGAGCCUGGGCUUGGACGGUGGGAUCAGAGAUUUAGGGGAGACAGAGACUUUUAGAGAAGACGGAGUCUAACCCCUCCUUUUAUAAAUGAGGAAAAGCGAAGUGCCCAGGUGAAAGCCGCAUGGAAAUAAGGAUUGAGCUGGCAUUUAGGAGCCAGCACACUUUCCAUUGGAUUAGCUUCCUCUGACUGCCCUAUGACCUUGAGCAAGCCAUUUACCUCCUCUUAGUUUCUAGGCCUAGAAAAUGAAGAAGCCAGAUUAGGUGAAGACAUCUUCCCGCCCUUAAACCAAUGGAAGCCGUUCUUUUUAUUUGAAUCGAUUGGGCAUCUGGUACUUUGUCUAGUCACUCAUCCCCUGCCAUAUUAAUGUGAGAAUUGACAAGGCCUUCGUGGGCGUUGGAUGCCAGUUCUGUAGGCCUGAAAGCGUUUUCCCCAAACCCUGUACCGUCCAAAAGUCUUGUAGGGAGGGGCAAAACAGACUCCAGGGACUUGAUGAUGACUUAAAAAAUGAUAGGUAGUUGUGGAUGUGGAAAAAGAAUUCUGAGACUAAGCUCAGUUUCUCCCGGAGGUCAUCCUGUCCAGACCUUUACCUCCUGUCAGAAUAGAAGAUGACCAGACCUAGGCUGAUAAUCUAAUUUACCUUUGUGGGUAUGCUAGUCCAAGGCCCCACCAUGUUUUCCCCUUUCAGGUUUCAGUCUGCUCUACUUUAGCUUCUCCGUUUCCAGGUGAACAUUCUGGCUACUCAUUUCCCUUUUCCCAAAUCCUACACACACACACACACACACACACACUCUCUCUC